AGAGUUUGAUCCUGGCUCAGAACGAACGCUGGCGGCAGGCUUAACACAUGCAAGUCGAACGCACCGCAAGGUGAGUGGCAGACGGGUGAGUAACGCGUGGGAACGUGCCCUUCAGUUCGGGAUAACCCAGGGAAACUUGGGCUAAUACCGGAUACGUGCGAGAGCAGAAAGAUUCAUCGCUGAAGGAUCGGCCCGCGUCUGAUUAGCUAGUUGGUAGGGUAAUGGCCUACCAAGGCGACGAUCAGUAGCUGGUCUGAGAGGAUGAUCAGCCACAUUGGGACUGAGACACGGCCCAAACUCCUACGGGAGGCAGCAGUGGGGAAUAUUGGACGAUGGGCGCAAGCCUGAUCCAGCCAUGCCGCGUGAGUGAUGAAGGCCUUAGGGUUGUAAAGCUCUUUCGUCCGGGACGAUAAUGACGGUACCGGAAGAAGAAGCCCCGGCUAACUUCGUGCCAGCAGCCGCGGUAAUACGAAGGGGGCUAGCGUUGUUCGGAAUCACUGGGCGUAAAGGGCGCGUAGGCGGCCUGAUAAGUCGGGGGUGAAAGCCUGUGGCUCAACCACAGAAUUGCCUUCGAUACUGUCGGGCUUGAGACCGGAAGAGGUAAGUGGAACUGCGAGUGUAGAGGUGAAAUUCGUAGAUAUUCGCAAGAACACCAGUGGCGAAGGCGGCUUACUGGUCCGGUUCUGACGCUGAGGCGCGAAAGCGUGGGGAGCAAACAGGAUUAGAUACCCCCGUAGUCC
rnacentral:rRNA from 2 species